rnacentral:rRNA from 1 species
GGUAACAGGAAGUGCUUGCACUUCGCUGACGAGUGGCGGACGGGUGAGUAAUACUUAGGGAUCUGCCUUCGAGUGGGGGACAACCAUUGGAAACGAUGGCUAAUACCGCAUAACGUCUACGGACCAAAGUGGGCUUCGGCUCACGCUUGAAGAGGAACCUAAGCGAGAUUAGCUAGUUGGUGAGGUAAGGGCUCACCAAGGCGACGAUCUCUAGCUGUUCUGAGAGGAAGAUCAGCCACACUGGGACUGAGACACGGCCCAGACUCCUACGGGAGGCAGCAGUGGGGAAUAUUGCACAAUGGGGGAAACCCUGAUGCAGCCAUGCCGCGUGUGUGAAGAAGGCCUUCGGGUUGUAAAGCACUUUCAGUUGUGAGGAAAGGUUGGUAGUUAAUACCUGCCAGCUGUGACGUUAACAACAGAAGAAGCACCGGCUAACUCCGUGCCAGCAGCCGCGGUAAUACGGAGGGUGCGAGCGUUAAUCGGAAUUACUGGGCGUAAAGCGCACGCAGGCGGUUUGUUAAGCUAGAUGUGAAAGCCCCGGGCUCAACCUGGGAUGGUCAUUUAAACUGGCAGACUAAGUCUUGGAGAGGGGAGUGGAAUUCCAGGUGUAGCGGUGAAAUGCGUAGAGAUCUGGAGGAACAUCAUGGCGAAGGCGACUCCCUGGCCAAAGACUGACGCUCAUGUGCGAAAGUGUGGGUAGCGAACAGAUUAGAUACCCUGGUAGUCCACACCGUACGCUGUCUACUAGCUGUGUGUGAAUUUAAUUCGUGCGUACCGUACUAACGCGCUAAGUAACCGCCUGGGGAGUACGGCCGCAGGUUAA